rnacentral:rRNA from 1 species
UGAGUGAUGAAGGCCUUAUGGUUGUAAAGCACUUUAAGCGAGGAGGAGGCUACUUUAGUUAAUACCUAGAGAUAGUGGACGUUACUCGCAGAAUAAGCACCAGCUAACUCUGUGCCAGCAGCCGCGGUAAUACAGAGGGUGCAAGCGUUAAUCGGAUUUACUGGGCGUAAAGCGCGCGUAGGCGGCUAAUUAAGUCAAAUGUGAAAUCCCCGAGCUUAACUUGGGAAUUGCAUUCGAUACUGGUUAGCUAGAGUGUGGGAGAGGAUGGUAGAAUUCCAGGUGUAGCGGUGAAAUGCGUAGAGAUCUGGAGGAAUACCGAUGGCGAAGGCAGCCAUCUGGCCUAACACUGACGCUGAGGUGCGAAAGCAUGGGGAGCAAACAGGAUUAGAUACCCUGGUAGUCCAUGCCGUAAACGAUGUCUACUAGCCGUUGGGGCCUUUGAGGCUUUAGUGGCGCAGCUAACGCGAUAAGUAGACCGCCUGGGGAGUACGGUCGCAAGACUAAAACUCAAAUGAAUUGACGGGGGCCCGCACAAGCGGUGGAGCAUGUGGUUUAAUUCGAUGCAACGCGAAGAACCUUACUGGCCCUUGACAUAGUAAGAACUUUCCAGAGAUG